UCCCGCGGUCUCCCUCGUUGUUCGGAUUCAUUGGGCGUAAAGGGUGCGUAGGUGGCGCCGUAAGUGGGGUGUGAAAUCUCGGGGCUUAACUCCGAAACUGCAUUCCAUACUGCGGUGCUCGAGGACUGGAGAGGAGACUGGAAUUUACGGUGUAGCAGUGAAAUGCGUAGAGAUCGGAAGGAGGACCAGUGGCGAAGGCGGGUCUCUGGACAGUUCCUGACGCUGAGGCACGAAAGCCAGGGGAGCAAACGGG
rnacentral:rRNA from 1 species